AACGAACGCUGGCGGCGUGCCUUACACAUGCAAGUCGAACGUGAAAGUCCUUCGGGAUGAGUAAAGUGGCGUACGGGUGAGUAAUACGUAGCUAACCUACCUUAAAGUCCGGAAUAACCUGCCGACAGGCGGGCUAAUACCAGAUAGAGCGACGGAGGACGUAAAGUCCUUUUCGGGAAAGGGAGCUCGAACGGGCCCUCGCUUUAGGAUGGGCUUGCGUCGCAUUAGCUAGUUGGUGGGGUAAUAGCCUACCAAGGCGAUGAUGAGUAGCUGGUCUAAGAGGACGGUCAGCCACACUGGAAUUGAAACACGGUCCAGACUCCUACGGGAGGCAGCAGUGGGGAAUUUUGGACAAUGGGCGCAAGCCUGAUCCAGCAAUGCCGCGUGCAGGAAGAAGGCCUUCGGGUUGUAAACUGCUUUUGUACGGAACGAAACGGCUCUGGUUAAUACCUGGGGCUAAUGACGGUACCGUAAGAAUAAGCACCGGCUAACUUCGUGCCAGCCGCCGCUGUAACAC
rnacentral:rRNA from 1 species